GGCACUUAAAAUGAUAUCCUGGUUGGCGACGCAUUAGCAGUGUCGCCGUAACUGGCAAGAAUUUUGCUUCUUCAACCUGAUGCAGGUUUUGCUAACUCGACGGUGAGGCUACGAAUUUUUAUUAAAAAAUAUUGGUUGUGUACGAUUACAUCUAUUAUCUAGACCAAAUGCCCAUGCCAAUAGGAUUAUAAAUCCAGUACUUAAUAUCUGAUAGUCUCUGCAUCAAGAGCUUCAGAACCAGAACACAUCAACUAUUAAUGCAAAACUUAUAUGCCACUUCAGCUUGUUGGUAUAGUUUCUUCAAACCUAUUCUCAACUGAUUCCUGUUUACCAGUACGACGCGGAAGUACUUUAGCACAAGUGCCAGUGCAUAAUUAACAUGGGCAGGUUGCAACCCGAGUACCAAUCCAAGUCUAAAUAAAAGUGCUUGCAAUAUCCGUCUGCAGCGAGACCGUUAAAUUAGAAGUUUUGAGAGGCAUCAAUUACAGAGAAGUGGCACACACUUCAUCUUCUUUUUCUCUUAAUUAUGUAUUACCCACAAGACACUUACGUAAGCGUUGAAACUCUGCCGAGCUACCGAUAUGAAUAAUAAAUAGAUUUUCUGUCUCAGCUGCGAACUUAUUCCAGCAUUGUGCGUACGUAUUUCUACUCUCCAUGAAUGAGCUGAACUCAUUUUGAUACAGUGAAUUAUGGUCGAUACCUAAUGUCUUCACGAAGUGCUGAACUUAUAUAUUAUGCGAAGAGUCUAUAGAGAUUAGAUAAAGCAUAUGAGACGUCAUGUGAACAGAUAAUUGCAAUUUUAAGGAUCACUGACUGCAGUUCGCUUACAUAAAUGCGUGAUGCAGAGGACACGCAAAAUAUGCUGAUACUUGUGCAGUUUACGCAGGCAUUUGCUGAGACGCAAAAAAAAACAGAACAAACGGAUGAGCUGAUGCUAU